ACUGGCGAUGGAGGGACAUCACACCAGGACAGGAAGUAAAGGGAUCUGGGUUGAGAAACAAGAGGUAGGUACAAAAUAAAACAACUCAACAAAUUCGACGAGACAUGACACAACCACUGCAGACACCCAUCCUGCAAACCAGCCUUUGAUCACCUGCCGGAGCGCACAUUUCUCACUGCUGACAGCUUCCCUGGAAUCAGCGGCCCAAUGUUAUCACAGAUACAGAUUACAGCAGGAAACAGGUGACAUCAGUUCAUCAUCACCUGCAUCUACACCACUCCACUCAUUUCAACCAGUCCAAACGGUGGCAAGGUUCCCUUCCAGAUCCUCCUCUCCACCCACACAGCAGUGAAGGUGGCAGAGAGGGCAACUUGGAUCUACGCCAGCCACUGCAACCACUGCCUCACCUCACUGACUCUCCAGAACAGCACGAAGGGGUGAGCACCACACAAACUACAACCUAAAGACACAACAGAGAAUCACCGAGGGUGUCGUUGAAUCUAACUGGAAGGAUUUAGCCUCAGUUUGAGCAACGAGCGUCAUUUGACGUACGCAGAUACACUGCCCUCAAAUCAUCCGACUUAGGAGAAGUCAUCAAGUGACCUGCAGAAGAGUUUCUGUGUCACCCACGAGGGACCUACACGUCAUCUACACGGACAGACCACGUCCGUGGCAUCCAUUCCAACACCUGGGGUUUGGUGGCCUUAGAGGCUCGAUGUGUUUUUUGACCUUAAUAUCAAUUAUCAUUGUGUUUCCCAUUUUGCUCACACGGCCCGGCAGGAAUAAUACUCACUGUUCUGACUAUCGUUUUCUGUUGUGUAAUUCCCUGCGCCCGUGGCUUGAUCACACGUGCCAUAGAUGGGGCGGUUACACACACCUUUGUAAAACAUGCCACUGAUGCUGAAAACAUGACUCCACACCAACCAGACUCACCUGAGUCUGACUCUGACGUCUCAUUUGACACAUGCGAGGACAACUUUGUUUAGAUAACCUAAAUGAACUAUGAUGUAAUAACCUCCCCGCUUGCUUUUUGAAAUCUCAGACACACUUCUGAACAAAAACAGCCACUUGCACACACACACACUUUCUUUCCAUCCAGCCCAUGAUGACCACGUCUAGAUGUUUGUGAAGUUCUAGCGUUGAUGUUCUAACGCCUGUGAUGAACUUGUACAUAUAUAUUCUUGUUGUUUGAUCAAUAGAAUGAUCAAAAGGGAGGAAUGUAAUGGAACAUUUCAUAUGUCCAUGUUAAAUUCUUAUUGUUUAAUACUUGGUGAAAUGAACUUCUGUCUUUCCCCAUUAUUUCCUUGUAACUUUAUUUCUCUCCCCCCCCCCCCCCCCCUCUACUCCUUGUUUCAUUUCGUCUUUCUAACACCUGCAACUGUGGGAACUCUCCACAGCUCCCUUCUCUACUCCCUUUCUUUGUGGGCCAACUAUGGCAAUCUUCCCCCCCCUUCUCCUUUCUGUCUUUAAAACACAUGAACACACUUUGUUCUGGUUCUUGCUCACGCAGACUGCUGCACUCUGUAGGGUUGAUGAUCCUAUUUGCAAAUAAUAAAUACUCAAAAGACAAGUUAACUUCUCAAGAAUCGACAUUUCAGUAUUAUAGACUUCACUGGUCAUUUGUUUAAGGACUUGAUUAAAAGUUUCCACGACACUAGGAUCAAACCAUUAUGUGAAAGAAGGAAGGGGGGCAGACGCUCCAAAGACAGCGCGUGUAGUGGUACAGGCCAGAUACACAGAGCGACAGAGAGACGGGGGAUUUAAAUGCAACAGGUCGGGAGAAAGUGAAGAAAUGAAGCUCUGCACUAAGACAACACUGGUGUUGGUCCUCUACGUGUUGGAGUUGUUCAGGAGCUGUGCAACAGAACAGCAACUUGUGGAGUUGCUUUGUUCUGCCAUAUCUGGUGUCGCUUUCUGUUUCAGUUGUUUUGAGUUUUGCCUUUCUGUAUUGGUGGGGGCGCUUUACUUUCCAAUGUGAAUUAAAUGCUCUUUGUUUUUACUUUACUAAA